rnacentral:rRNA from 1 species
UACGUAGGGGGCUAGCGUUGUCCGGAAUCAUUGGGCGUAAAGCGCGUGUAGGCGGUCCGGUAAGUCCGCUGUGAAAGUCGGGGGCUCAACCCUCGAAUGCCGGUGGAUACUGUCGGGCUAGAGUGCGGAAGAGGCGAGUGGAAUUCCUGGUGUAGCGGUGAAAUGCGCAGAUAUCUGGAGGAACACCGGUGGCGAAGGCGGCAUCCUGGACCGGUAUUGACGCUGAUGCGCGAAAGCCAGGGGAGCAAAGCGGG